rnacentral:rRNA from 1 species
ACGCUGCAAGGUGGGCAAUGUGAGCGUCGCGGUCGCCUACCGAAUGGUGACGGAGGUGCGCAAAGGGUGUCGCGGGACAGUAGGAAAUCGUAAGUAGGGUGUACAGGUAAAAGAGAGCUUGCUUGCAAGACAUACAGGGCGAGCAAGGAUGAAAAUCGGACUUAGUGGUCCGGUGGUUCUGCGUGGAAGGGCCAGCGCUCAACGGAUAAAAGCUACCCUGGGGAUAACAGGCUGAUCUCCCCCAAGAGUCCACAUCGACGGGGAGGUUUGGCACCUCGAUGUCGGCUCAUCACAUCCUGGGGCUGUAGGAGGUCCCAAGGGUUGGGCUGUUCUCCCAUCAACGUGGUACGCGAGCUGGAUUCAGAACGUCGUAAGACAGUUCGGUCCCUAUCCGUCGCAGGCGUAGGAAAUUUGAGAAGACCUGUCC